GGGACCGUGGUGUAGGGGUUAGCAUUGUUGCCUCUCAUCCAGUCGGCCUGGGUUCGAUCCCAGACGGUCCCG
rnacentral:tRNA from 1 species